CAGUAGCUCAGUCGGUUAGAGCACCUGACUGUUAAUCAGGGGGUCGUUGGUUCAAGCCCAUCCU
rnacentral:tRNA from 2 species